GCAGGCUGGGAGUUUGCGUGAAAAUCAUGAAGUCUUUCUUGUCUUUCUCUUUUGAAAUAUUUUCUAAGGAGAGUUAAGAAUGGCUCAGAAACUGGUCUCAUUCUUUUUGCGGGAAGAAUGACCAGAAGCAUAAAAGCUAAAUCUUCCAGCGAGUGCAAGACACCUCUUUCAGUGUUUGCAGCAAACCUAGCAGAAUGAAUAGCUGUCUGCAAAGUACUAUGCCAUGACACCUAAGAUGAAGGGAAUGGUAUCGCAAAGUAAUGACUCAAAGGCUGCCACCGAGAGCUUUUGUCUGCUUUUAACUCAUUGUGGAAACGAAGGUAGAAUGAAGUUAAAUGGUCUGCUUAAGGUGACACAGAGGAACAGGCAAAGCUGGACAUGCCAAAGAUGGCAUAGAUGAACAUGACCAGGAAGAGCAGGAGGCCGAUGUUAAACAACGCAGGGAGGGACAUCAUCAGAGCAAAG